UAGGGAAUCUUCGGCAAUGGGGGGAACCCUGACCGAGCAACGCCGCGUGAGUGAAGAAGGUUUUCGGAUCGUAAAGCUCUGUUGUUAAGGAAGAACGAGUGUGAGAAUGGAAAGUUCAUGCUGUGACGGUACUUAACCAGAAAGGGACGGCUAACUACGUGCCAGCAGCCGCGGUAAUACGUAGGUCCCGAGCGUUGUCCGGAUUUAUUGGGCGUAAAGCGAGCGCAGGCGGUUAGAAAAGUCUGAAGUGAAAGGCAGUGGCUCAACCAUCGUAGGCUUUGGAAACUGUUUAACUUGAGUGCAGAAGGGGAGAGUGGAAUUCCAUGUGUAGCGGUGAAAUGCGUAGAUAUAUGGAGGAACACCGGUGGCGAAAGCGGCUCUCUGGUCUGUAACUGACGCUGAGGCUCGAAAGCGUGGGGAGCGAACAGG
rnacentral:rRNA from 1 species